CGGGAAAACAGUCAAGGUCGAACAAUGCAUAACAGUAAACUACAAUAUAUCAGUUUUCCAGAAUCAUCUCCUAAUUUUCGAAGAAGAUUUCAGAUAGCUAAUGAUAUCGGAUCAAGACGUGCUAUAGCUCGUUAGAAAGCUAACCAAACCAUCUUUGACUUUCAUGAAGACAUCGAGCACCAAAAAGCACAUAUACUAACUCAAUUCUGGGCAUACGCACAAAGAGGUCCGUCAAGAAUCCGAGGUUGCAGAACAAUUGUCAUCCAAGUUCAAAAAAUCAUAGAACCAAAAGAUCUAACUGUAAUCAACUCUAAAUCAAUCAAGUAUUGAUUCUAAUCAGAUUCGCAAUGCAUCUUGGCCCCGAACCUUAGUUGUCGAGAAUGCAUUUCGACACGAGAAGCUCUCGCCUCAUCGGAUGCUAUUAAAAGGAGUUUCAAGCACUUACCUUGAUUGAAUCGUCGAAGAACAUGCCUUCGAAUCUCUUCAUUUAGCAAUGACGAAACUGCUAUUUAACAUAAAAAAAAAUAUUGAAAUUAGCGGAGAGUCGAAUUUUAUUUUGUUCUGUAAUCAAAACAGAAAAAGGAAAUGGAACGCUUAGCUUUGAUUUUGCUUCGAGGACUACGGAACGUGAAGAACACCGAGUCAGAUUCUGGUAUAAGAGCUAUUCAGCACCGAUCUUCAAGCUCUGAUUUAUGACUUUCGCAGAUCAUGAUCACUCUUCUCUAAUCCUUUUUCUAGAUCAACACUCAAAGAUGAACACAUCGGUGCAUCAUAGUCGCUGGACUUUGCUGAAAAUACUGAUCGCCUGAUGAAGAAACGAUUGGACUUUGCUCAGGACUUCAUUCGAUGUCGAUCUCCGAUUUUUGACUUACGAGACUCAUCAACGGACGCUAAUCAACGAAAUUGAAGAGAUCGACGUCAACAAAAUCUGAUGUAAUCAGAGUCCAAGCACACCAAGUAUACGAGUAGAGAUUGAGAAGACUUAGC
rnacentral:lncRNA from 1 species